AUGCCUUCUUCUUCUUCUCAUGUGUUUGUGUUGUUCACCGUUCUUGGUUGCCUUAGCCUCAGCAUCGAAGCUGAAAUUACUUACAGGUCCAUUUUAUGUCCCGCAAACACCGGAAAUUUCACUCCCAACAGCACCUACGAGUCCAAUCUCAAUCUCCUCUUCUCCUAUCUCACCUCCAACGCAACCAAUGACCUCGGAUUCUACAACACCACAGUCGGCGGCCAAGGCCCCGGCACGGAUGUCUACGGAUCUUUUAGUUGCCGUGGCGAUGUGACACCUGAAAAGUGUCAAGAAUGUGUGUCUACUAUAGCCAGAAAUGGAGUCCCAAAGGAUUGCGCCUUGAGAAAAAAUGGAAUAAUAUGGUAUGACAUCUGCAUGGUACGCUACUCAGACACAUCCUUCUUUGGAAACUUGGAGGAAUCACCAAUAAUUUACAUGGUGAACACUGGGAAUAUCACCGAGCCUGACCGCUUCAUGCAGCUGCUGGGACAAACUAUGAGCAGCUUGGUGGAUCGUGCUGCUGAUGCACCUUCCGGUAGGAAAAAAUUCGCAACAGAAGAAGUGAACUUCACAGAUUUUCAGAUGUUGUACACCCUUGUGCAGUGCACAGCAGACCUGUCGAGCCAAAGUUGUAAUCGUUGUCUUCGAGGAUCUAUUUCAUUUCUUCCAGAUUGUUGUAAUGGAAAGCGAGCGGGAAAUGUCCUAGUUCCUAGUUGUGAUAUUCAACAUGAUGUCUCUCCGUUUUAUACAGUUCAAGCUGCGCCACACAGCCACCAGCGCCAUCGCCUCCAUCACCGCUUCUUCCUCCCCCUCCCCCAGGUUCAGUAACGAGACCUGAUCAAGGAAAUAAUGACCAAAUCUCACCCUUAACAAUAGUGGCCAUUGUUGUUCCAAUUGCCAUAGUUCUUUUCUUGGUAGGCUGUAUUUUCUUAAAAAGAAAGACAAGGAAGAAGUAUGAUGCUGUACAAGAGCAAAAUGGCAACAUGCAUGAAAUUACUACCGUAGAGUCUUUGCAGUUUGACUUGGCUACCAUAGAAGCAGCCACAAACCGGUUCUCUGUUAAUAACAAGUUAGGCGGAGGAGGCUUUGGAGAGGUCUACAAGGGCACACUACCUAAUGGGCAAGAGAUAGCUGUGAAGAGGCUAUCUAAAAGCUCCGGGCAGGGUGUCAUGGAGUUUAAGAAUGAGGUUGUUUUGGUGGCCAAACUUCAGCACAGAAACUUAGUGAGGCUGCUGGGGUUUUGCUCUGAAGGAGAAGAAAAGAUACUUGUUUAUGAACUUGUGAAGAACAAAAGCCUUGACCACUUCUUAUUCGACUCGGACAAUCGAGGCAAGCUAGAUUGGUCAAGCACAUACAAGAUUAUCAGUGGGAUUGCUAGAGGGAUUCUCUAUCUCCAUCAAGAUUCUCGACUUAAAAUCAUACAUCGCGAUCUCAAAGCAAGCAACAUAUUGCUAGAUGGCGAAAUGAACCCAAAAAUAGCAGAUUUUGGCAUGGCAAGAAUAUUUGGAGGUGAUCAAACUCAAGAAAAUACCAUAAGGAUUGUUGGAACUUAUGGUUACAUGCCUCCAGAGUAUGCAAUGCACGGACAGUUCUCGGUGAAGACUGAUGUGUACAGUCUUGGUGUCUUGAUCUUAGAGAUUGUAACCGGCCAGAAGAACACUAGCUUUCAAUCCGAACGCGGCGAAUACCUCUUGACCUAUGCUUGGAACCAUUGGAGGGAUGGGACGCCAGAUGAGUUGCUGGAUCGAAAUCUAAGACGUUCUUAUUCAAGAAAUGAAGUAAUCAGAUGUAUCCAUAUUGCUUUACUGUGUGUUCAAAAAGAUCAAGAGAAGAGACCUACAAUGCAAACCGUUGUUCUCAUGCUAAGCAGUUACUCGAUUACUAUGGCAUUGCCUCAAAAGCCAGCAUUUUGCCUACAUAGUACAGAAGAAAUGAGGAUGCCAUCAGUAACAUCUGAAUCAUUAAACCAACACUCUAGCAAUUCAGCUUGUGAAAGAAACGAGCCGCAGCGACCGCAACUCACCGUCACAGACGUAGUUAAAGAGACCACAUCACUCUUCAACCUCGCCUUCCCCAUGGUCAUCACAGACCUCAUCCGCUACUCCCGCUCCAUCAUCUCCAUGCUCUUCCUCGGCCACGUCGGCGACUCAGAGCUUGCCGCGGGGCCACUAGCCAUAGCCUACGCAAACAUCACCGGCUACUCCGUACUCUCCGGCCUAGCUUUAGGUAUGGAGCCGCUUUGUUCCCAAGCCUUCGGAGCUGGACGUCCAAAGCUUCUGUCAGUCACGCUCCACCGCUGUGUACUCUUCCUCCUGCUUUGCUCCCUGCUCCCCAUUUCGUCGCUUUGGUUUAACAUAUCGAACAUUCUUACGUAUGUUGUCCAAGACCCGAAAAUAACCUCAAUGGCUCACACCUAUCUCAUGUUCUCACUGCCUGACCUUUUCACUAACUCCCUCAUUCACCCAAUCCGCAUUUACCUUCGCGCCCAAGGCAUCACCCACCCCGUCACUCUCGCCUCUUUUGCCGGAACAUGCCUUCAUCUGCCUAUGAACUUUUUGUUGGUCACAAAGCUCCAGCUUGGGGUGGCCGGCGUCGCGGCGGCUUCCGCGGCGUCGAAUUUUCUCACGCUGGUUGUUGUGGUGGUGUAUAUUUGGGCGAGAGGGUUGCACGUGCCCACGUGGACGGCGCCAAGCCGGGAGUGCCUGACGGGUUGGGGCCCGCUGCUGCGGUUGGCCGGACCGAGCUGCGUCUCGGUUUGCUUGGAAUGGUGGUGGUACGAGAUCAUGUUUUUCUUGUGUGGCCGUUUGAUGGACCCCAAAGCAACCGUCGCCUCGAUGGGUGUGCUUAUCCAAACGACGUCGUUCAUAUACGUCUUUCCGUCUUCCCUCGGUUUCGCUGUCUCGACCCGGGUCGGGAACGAGCUCGGGGCGAACCGGCCCAACUUGGCCAAGCUGUCCGCGAAGGUCGCGGUUGCACUCGCCUUCUUCAUGGCCUUGUCCGCCGCGGCCUUCGCGUUCGGGGUGAGAGGCGUGUGGGGAAGGAUGUUCACGAACGACGAGAAGAUCGUACGGCUGACGUCGCUCGCGCUUCCCAUCGUAGGGCUGUGCGAGCUCGGAAACUGUCCCCAGACAGUCGCGUGUGGGGUACUCAGAGGCAGCGCGCGUCCGAGUACUGCCGCGAACGUGAACCUCGGGGCGUUCUAUCUGGUGGGCAUGCCCGUGGCGGUUGGGCUCGGGUUAUGGAUCGGAGUCGGGUUUAAUGGGCUGUGGAUCGGGUUGCUGUCGGCCCAGAUAUGCUGUGCGGGGCUGCUGUUGUGUGUUGUGGGGACCACGGACUGGGAUUCGCAGGCGAAGAGGGCGCAGGCGCUAUCGUGCGCCGGGUGUGAAGUGAUACCACUUCCUCCUCCUGGUAGUGAUUCCGAAGAAUCAGUCAUAGAAGAUGAUGUUGAACAUGUCAACGUGAAUCGUGGAUCUGAGAACAAAGGCUUCCACGACAACGUCGGCAUCCUCCUCUCCGAUCUCACCUCCAAAUCGUAUAACUCCAGCUUCUACAACUCCACGGCCGGAAACGAAGAACAAGACAAGGCGAACGGUCUUUUCCUUUGUCGAGGCGACAUUGACGCUCAAGUUUGUCACAACUGCAUCGACAAUGCAGCCAAACUCCUCCGGGAUAACUGCACCGACUUCCAACACACCACCAUUUAUUAUGAAGAGUGCAUGUUACGAUAUUCAAACCGUUCCAUUUUCGCGACGAAGCAGGAGCUUCCAUAUCGAUAUUGGUGCAGCGUGAACAAGGUUUCCGACCAUGUUUCCGAUCAGUUCAAUCAGAGUGUGUCCAAGUUGAUGGGGUGGCUUGUGGACACGGCCGCGAAUGGUAAUACAAAACCCCUUCAUUUCUCGACAGGGGAAGAAAAUACAAAAACCGGUGCUAAUGGUACGUCGUGGUUACAUGGCAUGAUGCAAUGCACGCCGGAUAUUACUGACGGUGAUUGCGACAAAUGUUUGAAGGCGGCCGUCGGCAGUUACCAGGAGUUCUGCGCCGGAAGAAUGUGGGCGAUGAUUUUCGCCCCUAGUUGUCAGUUACGGUAUACUACAAGCCCUUUUGGGAAGUCAGGACAACCCCCAAAGAGUGGUGGCGACGGAAGAAUGAAGAACUACAAACCAUACGUUGCUCUUGCAGCACUGAUGCUUCUGUCCACCAUAUUUGUUAGUAGUACUCCAUCUUUGCUUGAAAUCACACUGACGCUAAACGCAGAAAUGAAUUAUCCAACAUCCUUGCUCUUCAUUUUUGCCACUGUUAUCGUUGUCCUUGUUGCUCCGGCAAUGGCUGACGAUAUCAGUCAGUGCACGCUCACAGCUGACUACUGCUGGAGCUGUUCCGGUAGUAAUACUACUACUAACGCCACCACCUACAAACAAAACCUCAACACACUCCUCCUCUCUUUGUCUUCCGCCAACCAAACCAACUACGGGUUCUUGAAUAUGUCCAAGGGAACUGGCACCGACAAAGUGAAUCUAAUUGCACUCUGUAGAGGAGACCUUGCCCAAGACGAGUGUCGUGCUUGUUACAGCCAAGCCAACAUUAUUCUCUCGCAGAAUUGCUCUACUCAACAGCAAGGAAUCAUCUGGGCGGAGGGUUGCACUGUUCGAUACUCGAACGUCACCAUAUUCGGUAUCGAAGAAGAUAAGCCCCUUCAGUUGUUGUCGAGCCCCAACGAUGUGUCAAACGCUGCAGACUUCAAGCUGGUGCUUAAUCCCUUGUUGAAAGUUUUGGUCCAAAAUGCAUCGUCAGGGGAUUCGAUGAAGAAAUUUGCAGCAGGACAUGCGCCUGUCCCUGCAGGAAGUGAAACAAAUCAAACCAUAUAUGCAACUGUUCAGUGCAGUCCUGAAUUGGAUAAGCAAACAUGCAGUGAGUGCCUAGAGGAUUCUAUUGAGGAUAUUGCUAAAUGUUGUGAAGGAAAGGAUGGAGCGAGGAUUCUUAAACCCAGCUGUAAUUUGAGGUUUGAGAAAGGAAUGUUCUAUGAGCCUGGAGCUGAUCAACUAGUAAAUAUUCCUACAGCCACUCCCUCCCCUACAGCCACUCCGUCUCCUACAGCCACUCCGUCUCCUACAUCCACUCCAACGCCUACGACUCCAACACCUACCACUCCCACACCUACAGCAACAGAAGAUCAAAGAGCAACACUUGCCCUGCCGGAAAUGGCUUCCUCAAGAUUUAUUUUCUUCCUUUCUUCUGGUGUUCUUGUACUCAUGAUGUUCACUCAAGCCCUAGCUCAGCCAGCUUUUCUAAACAAAUUCUGUUUAAAUGAUACAGGCAACUACACCACUAACAGUACCUACCAAAGAAACCUCAACGCCCUACUCACCUCCCUUCCGGCCUCAAACAACAAUACCGGCUACGGCUUUUACUAUUCAUUCAACGGCGAAAACCCUAAUCGAGUUUAUGCAAUCGGACACUGCAGAGGCGACAUCGCCACCGAUGAUUGUCGUAGUUGCCUCAACGACUCUAGAGUUGGUCUCACAAAGCUUUGUCCCAACCAGAAAGAAGCUAUUGGUUGGUACGACGGUUGCAUGUUACGGUACUCGAACCGCUCCAUCUAUGGCAUUAUGGAAACUGAGCCUAGUUUCAAUCUGUUCAAUACACAGGACGUAGCAUCAUCUAUUUCAGAAGUAUUCUUUCAACAGCUUGAAAAGUUACUGGAAAGCUUGAAGAGUCAAGCUUCUUCGGCCGGUCCUCUUCGUAAGUUUGCCUUCGGAAACACGACCGCCGGAGCUUUCCAAAAUAUAUAUGCACUUACGCAGUGCACGCCAGACUUAUCGGAGAAAGAAUGCAGUGAUUGCUUGGAGGGUGCUUUCGGACAAUACACGGCGCUUGGUCUGAGAACGAUAGGUGGGAGAAUUAUUAGACCCAGCUGUAAUUUUGGGUAUGAGAUUAGUAGCUUCAUUGACCCAGCAAAUGUGGUACCACUGCCAUCAUCAACAUCUCCUCCCCAACCAUCAACCAAUACUACUGGUAACAAAUCUCGGACAAUCAUCAUUGUUGUUGCGUCUAUCGGUACUUUGCUGGUGGCUCUGAUUAUAUCCAUUUCCAAAUGUUUAAGAGUAAGGAAGACCCAGGACAACCUAGAGAAAAAGAUAAUUCCAGGUGAAGAUGUUGAUGACAUUCAAAGUUCAGAAGCCUUGCAUUUUGACUUUGACACCAUUAGAGAUGCUACAAAUAACUUUUCAGAUGCAAAUAAACUUGGAGAAGGGGGAUUCGGUUCUGUUUACAAGGGUCACCUUCUCAAUGGAGAAGUUAUAGCAGUGAAAAGACUUUCUAAAGAUUCUGGGCAAGGAAUUUCAGAAUUUAAAAACGAGGUCUUGUUAGUGGCCAAGCUUCAACAUCGGAAUUUAGUAAGGCUUCUGGGUUUCUGCUUGGAAGGAAAUGAAAAGCUUCUUGUUUAUGAAUUUGUCCCUAAUACAAGUCUCGAUCAUAUUAUAUUUGACCCAAUUAAGCGUACACAAUUGGAUUGGGACAGACGCUACAAAAUCAUAGUGGGAAUUGCUCGAGGGCUCCUUUACCUUCAUGAAGAUUCUCGACUUCGAAUUAUUCAUCGUGACCUCAAAGUUAGUAACAUCUUGUUAGAUGCAGAACUAAAUCCUAAAAUUGCAGAUUUUGGAAUGGCAAGAUUGUUCGUACCUGAUCAGACUCAAGGCAAUACGAGUCGAAUUGUCGGGACCUAUGGCUAUAUGGCUCCAGAAUAUGCAAUGCAUGGACAAUUCUCGGUCAAGUCUGAUGUCUAUAGUUUCGGCGUGUUAGUUUUUAGAGAUCAUCACUGGACAAAAGAAUAGUUGUUUUCGACCUGGAGGGAAUGCAGAGGAUCUACUAAGCUAUGCAUGGAAAAGUUGGAAGGAAGGGACAGCUGCAAAUCUAAUAGAUCCCACAUUGAGGAAUGGCUCGAGAUCUGAAAUAAUGAGAUGCAUCCACAUCGGAUUAUUAUGUGUACAAGAUAAUAUAGUUGAUAGGCCAACAAUGACUUCGAUUAGUAUCAUGCUGAAUAGCUACUCUCUUGCUCUCCCAGUACCCUCAUCACCCAACUUUUUUAUGACGAGCAGGACUGAUCCACUACUGGAAAUGGACUACUCUUCUACGGUGAUUGAGUCCGAUCAAUCAAAAAGCAGCAGCUCCUUGAUCAAUGCAUCAGUCCAUGACGAUUCAACUGAAAUAUUCCCUCGCUAG